UGGGGAAUAUUGCACAAUGGGCGAAAGCCUGAUGCAGCAACGCCGCGUGCGGGAUGACGGCCUUCGGGUUGUAAACCGCUUUCAGCAGGGACGAAGGGUUUCUGACGGUACCUGCAGAAGAAGCACCGGCUAACUACGUGCCAGCAGCCGCGGUGAUACGUAGGGUGCGAGCGUUGUCCGGAAUUAUUGGGCGUAAAGAGCUCGUAGGUGGUUUGUUGCGUCGGAAGUGAAAACUCAGGGCUUAACCCUGAGCCUGCUUUCGAUACGGGCAGACUAGAGGAAGGUAGGGGAGAACGGAAUUCCUGGUGGAGCGGUGGAAUGCGCAGAUAUCAGGAGGAACACCGGUGGCGAAGGCGGUUCUCUGGACCUUUCCUGACGCUGAGGAGCGAAAGCGUGGGGAGCAAACAGGCUUAGAUACCCUGGUAGUCCACGCCGUAAACGGUGGGCACUAGGUGUGGGGGACAUUCCACGUUCUCCCGUGCCGUAGCUAACGCAUUAAGUGCCCCGCCUGGGGAGUACGCCGCAAGGCUAAAACUCAAAUGAAUUGA
rnacentral:rRNA from 1 species